rnacentral:pre_miRNA from 14 species
UUUUAGACCAUUAAUGGUUGAUUUUAUCCCAAAUGAAAGAUCCCCAAAGAGAGACCCUUAUUCAAGUCUUGGGAAAUCGCGGACCCCAGACACAGAGAGACCA